rnacentral:rRNA from 1 species
CUUGAGGAUGGAAGAGGAGAGCGGAACUGCCGGUGUAAGGGUGAAAUCUGUGGAUAUCGGCAGGAACGCCAGCGGAGAAGUCGGCUCUCUGGUCCAUUUCUGACGCUCAGGGACGAAAGCUAGGGGAGCGAACAGGAUUAGAUACCCUGGUAGUCCUAGCUGUAAACGAUGGGCACUAGAUGCUCGUUCUUUUGAAUGGGUGUCGUAGCUAACGCGUUAAGUGCCCCACCUGGGGACUACGGUCGCAAGACUAAAACUCAAAGGAAUUGACGGGGGCCUGCACAAGCGGUGGAACACGUGGUUAAUUCGAUGCUACGCGAGGAACCUUACCAGGGCUUGACAUGCUGGAAGUAGCCACCCGAAAGGAUUGGCCACCUGUAACCAAUCAGGAACCAGUGCAGGUGCUGCAUGGCUGUCGUCAGCUCGUGCCGUGAGGUGUUCCCUUAAGUGGGAAAACGAGCGCAACCCUCGUCCUUAGUUGCCACCUUCGAGUAAUCGGAGCGCACUCUAAGGAGACUGCCCGCGUUAAGUGGGAGGAAGGUGAGGAUGACGUCAAGUCCGCAUGGCCCUUAUGUCCUGGGCUACACACGUGUUACGAUGGCGCAUACAAUGGGGGGCUAAGCCGUAAGGUGGAGCAAAUCCUAUAAAGUGUGCCUCAGUUCGGAUUGAGGGCUGCAAUUCGCCCUCAUGAAGCUGGA